rnacentral:rRNA from 1 species
AACGAACGCUGGCGGCAGGCUUAACACAUGCAAGUCGAACGCCCCGCAAGGGGAGUGGCAGACGGGUGAGUAACGCGUGGGAAUCUACCCAGAUCUUCGGAACAACUGAGGGCAACUUCAGCUAAUACCGGAUACGCCCUACGGGGGAAAGAUUUAUCGGUGCUGGAUGAGCCCGCGUUGGAUUAGCUAGUUGGUGGGGUAAUGGCCUACCAAGGCGACGAUCCAUAGCUGGUCUGAGAGGAUGAUCAGCCACACUGGGACUGAGACACGGCCCAGACUCCUACGGGAGGCAGCAGUGGGGAGUAUUGGACAAUGGGCGAAAGCCUGACCCAGCCAUGCCGCGUGAGUGAUGAAGGCCUUAGGGUUGUAAAGCUCUUUCAGUGGGGAAGAUAAUGACGGUACCCACAGAAGAAGCCCCGGCUAACUUCGUGCCAGCAGCCGCAGUAAGAC